GACGAACGCUGGCGGCGUGCUUAACACAUGCAAGUCGAACGAUGAUCUCCCGCUUGCGGGGGUGAUUAGUUGCGAACGGGUGAGUAAUACGUGAGUAACCUGCCCUUGACUCUGGGAUAAGCCUGGGAAACCGGGUCUAAUACUGGCUACUACUUCUUGCCGAAUGGUGGGGGGUGGAAAGGGUUUUACUUGUUCUGGAUGUGUUGGCGGCCUAUCAGCUUGUUGGGGGAGUAAUGGCUCACCGAGGUGACGACGGGUACCCGGCCUGAGAGAGUGAGCGGCGGCACUGAGUCUGAGAGGAGGCAGAGGCAGCGACGGGUGGCAGCUGUGGGGAAUCCUGAACGAUGGGCGGAGGGCUGGUGAUGCAGGGCCGCGUGAGGGAUAACGGCCUUAGGGUUGUAGAACUCUUUCAGCAGGAAAGAAGCACGAAGUGACGGUACCUGAAGAAGAAGCGACGGCUAACUACGUG
rnacentral:rRNA from 1 species